UCGCUAAAAGUAGUUGAUUUUUAGUAGUACCUGCCCAGUGCGUAUUAUCUUGUUAACGGCCGCCUUAGCGUGAGGGUGCUAAGGUAGCGAAAUUCCUUGCCUUUUAAUUGUAGGCCAGCAUGAAUGGUUUGACGAGGGCCUCACUGUCUCUUAGUUCUAUGUUGAAAUUGUAGUGUAGGUGAAGAUACCUUCAUAAAAAAGUAAGACAAAAAGACCCCGUGCAACUUUGAAAAUUAAGCUAGAUUAAAUGGCAAAAGAUUUUUAGGUGGGGCGCCAAAAGAGGAAACUAUAACCUCUGCUGUUUAAGCUAAUUCUUACUGGAGUUGACCUGACUUAAGUCGAUCAAAGGAGAAGUUACGCCGGGGAUAACAGGCCAAUUCUUUAGUAAAGCUCGUAUUAACUAAAGGGCUUGGCACCUCGAUGUUGAAUCAGGGAUUAUAGCUUCAAGGCGUAGAUGCUUUGAUUAGUAGGUCUGUUCGACCUUUGAAACCCU
rnacentral:rRNA from 1 species